rnacentral:rRNA from 1 species
CAGUCGCCGCGGUAAUACGUAGGGUGCAAGCGUUAAUCGGAAUUACUGGGCGUAAAGCGUGCGCAGGCGGUUAUAUAAGACAGAUGUGAAAUCCCCGGGCUCAACCUGGGAACUGCAUUUGUGACUGUAUAGCUAGAGUACGGCAGAGGGGGAUGGAAUUCCGCGUGUAGCAGUGAAAUGCGUAGAUAUGCGGAGGAACACCGAUGGCGAAGGCAAUCCCCUGGGCCUGUACUGACGCUCAUGCACGAAAGCGUGGGGAGCAAACAGGAUUAGAUACCCGUGUAGUCCCUGUCUUUAUACA